GUUUCCCCUUAAAGAGUUCCCUCGCCCGGGUCUCAGGAAGACGCCCGAGGGGGCGCUCGGAGGGAUCCCCAGCAGCCGCCAGGGCUGGACCGUUUGGUGCGCAGGUGAGAAGCCGGGAGGGGCCGGACAACCCCGACCGCGAGCGGGACUGCUGGGACCGCAGGUCCAGAGAGGCAUUGAAAUGAGACUGCAGUCACUUACCAUCCCUGCUUGAGCCAAGUAAUUAUUUUGAAGUGGCCUUCUGUAUGAACUCCAGAUCAACAGCUAUAAAUUAACAUGGGCAUGGUGAUGCAUGCCUGUAAUCCCAGCUACUCAGGAGACUAAGUUCAACAUGUCAUUCAAUUGACGGUUCAUUCACGCAUAUGUCCAGGACUAUGUAAAGUGCCUGCGAACAGAAAGAAGACACAAAAUCCCUGCUCUUAAGGGAUUUACACGUGAAAUAGGGUGACAAAGAAGACAAUUAAGGUGAGACUCUGAGGAGCAUGGAGUGUGCCUGUAGUCCCAGCUACCAGGAGGAUCGCUUGAGCCCAGGAGUUACAGUCCAGCCUGGGGUAGCACAGCUAGAUGCUGUCUCUUAAAUUAAAAAGAAGAAGAAAAUUAAAAGACACUGGCCAGGCACGGUGGCUCAUGCCUAUA